AUUGAACGCUGGCGGCAGGCUUAACACAUGCAAGUCGAGCGAGCGGCGGACGGGUGAGUAAUGUCUGGGAAACUGCCUGAUGGAGGGGGAUAACUACUGGAAACGGUAGCUAAUACCGCAUACCAUCAGAUGUGCCCAGAUGGGAUUAGCUAGUUGGUGGGGUAAUGGCUCACCUAGGCGACGAUCCCUAGCUGGUCUGAGAGGGUGAUCGGCCACACUGGAACUGAGACACGGCCCAGACUCCUACGGGAGGCAGCAGUGGGGAAUCUUGCACAAUGGGCGAAAGCCUGACGCAGCCACGCCGCGUGUAUGAUGAAGGUCUUCGGGUCGUAAAGCUCUGUUAGUAGGGAGGCGGUACCUACACAAUAAGCCACGGCUAACUACGUGCCAGCAGCCGCGGUAAUAC
rnacentral:rRNA from 1 species